rnacentral:rRNA from 1 species
ACUCUGGUUGAUCCUGCCAGUUAGUCAUAUGCUUGUCUCAAAGAUUAAGCCAUGCAUGUCUCAGUAUAAGUCAUAUCACGGCGAAACUGCGAAUGGCUCAUUAAAACAGUUAUAGUCUACACCAUAGUCACACCAUUAUUUGGAUACCUGUGGUAAUUCUAGAGCUAAUACAUGCGGAAAGACCUGACUCACGAAAGGUCGUAUUUAUUAGAUACAGAACCAAUUCCUUCGGGAUUUUGGAUGAUUCAUGAUAAACGAACGGAGCGUAUUGGCGCGAGCCGACGCUGGAUGGUUCGAGUUUCUGACCUAUCAGCUCUCGACGGUAGGGUAUUGGCCUACCGUGGCAUUGACGGGUAACGGAGAAUUAGGGUUCGAUUCCGGAAAGGGAGCCCGAUAAACGGCUACCACAUCUAAGGAAGGCAGCAGGCGCGCAAAUUUACCCAAUCCCGAUACGGGGAGGUAGUGACAAGAAAUAACGAGGCGGGCCACUACG